UAAGGAAUAUUGGUCAAUGGACGCAAGUCUGAGCCAGCCAUGCCGCGUGAAGGAUGAAGGUCCUCUGGAUUGUAAACUUCUUUUAUCUGGGACGAAAACGGGAUUUUUAUCUCAAUUGACGGUACCAGAGGAAUAAGCACCGGCUAACUCCGUGCCAGCAGCCGCGAUAAUACGGAGGGUGCGGGCGUUAUCCGGAUUUACUGGGUUUAAAGGGUGCGUAGGUGGGCUUAUAAGUCAGUGGUGAAAUCUCCGAGCUUAACUUGGAAACUGCCGUUGAUACUAUAGGUCUUGAAUUAUCUGGAGGUAAGCGGAAUAUGUCAUGUAGCGGUGAAAUGCUUAGAUAUGACAUAGAACACCAAUUGCGAAGGCAGCUUACUACAUAUAAAUUGACGCUGAGGCACGAAAGCGUGGGGAUCAAACA
rnacentral:rRNA from 1 species